CCUACGGGAGGCAGCAGUGGGGAAUAUUGGACAAUGGGGGCAACCCUGAUCCAGCCAUGCCGCGUGUGUGAAGAAGGCCCUCGGGUUGUAAAGCACUUUCAGUGAGGAAGAACGCCUGGUGGUUAAUACCCAUCAGGAAAGACAUCACUCACAGAAGAAGCACCGGCUAACUCCGUGCCAGCAGCCGCGGUAAUACGGAGGGUGCGAGCGUUAAUCGGAAUUACUGGGCGUAAAGCGCGCGUAGGUGGCUUGAUAAGCCGGUUGUGAAAGCCCCGGGCUCAACCUGGGAACGGCAUCCGGAACUGUCAAGCUAGAGUGCAGGAGAGGAAGGUAGAAUUCCCGGUGUAGCGGUGAAAUGCGUAGAGAUCGGGAGGAAUACCAGUGGCGAAGGCGACCUUCUGGACUGACACUGACACUGAGGUGCGAAAGCGUGGGUAGCAAACAGGAUUAGAUACCCUUGUAGUC
rnacentral:rRNA from 1 species